rnacentral:misc_RNA from 1 species
UUCACAGCCAGGAUCAUUGCUCAUUUUCUGAAAAACCGUAUAAGCUUCACUCAUUCUUCUGGCUUUUAUAAGAUGGUGAAGAAUGAUAUCAUAAGUUCGUGUAUUUGGACCAAUCUUACAUCUCCUCAUCUCAUCAACUAGCCUAUACGCAUCGUCCAUACACAAAGACCAGCAAUAAGCUCCCACCAUCGCGUUAUAAGUGAACACCUCAAGAUCAAAGCCACUACCCUUAUACAACUCGAAAUACUUAAGAGCUAGAACCAACCUUUUCUCCGACCCCAAACCAUUUAUCAACGUGCAAUAAACAUGAGGCGUCACCUUAAUCUUCUUCCUUUCCAUUUCGUGUAACAACUCAAUCGCCUCAUCAUACUUCUUAACCUUGCAAUGAGCAUGAAUCAUGAUCCCGUAGCUAACAACAUCAGGCUCAAUACCAUCAGCCAUCAUCUCGCGAUAAACUUCAUUCAACCUCAACAAGUUCUUUUCUUGACCCCAUCCUUCUAACAG